rnacentral:rRNA from 1 species
UACGUAGGGUGCAAGCGUUAAUCGGAAUUACUGGGCGUAAAGCGUGCGUAGACGGUUAUUUAAGUCAGGUGUGAAAGCCCCGGGCUCAACCUGGGAAUUGCAUUUGAGACUGCAUAGCUAGGGUGCGGAAGAGGGAAGCGGAAUUUCCGGUGUAGCGGUGAAAUGCGUAGAUAUCGGAAGGAACACCAGUGGCGAAAGCGGCUUCCUGGUCCAGCACCGACGUUCAGGCACGAAAGCGUGGGGAGCAAACAGG